CACACAGCCCAUUAUCCUUUCAGCUGCCCAAACGACAGAACCUUCCGCUGGUACCUCCGGAGCAGUUCCCCUCAAAGGAAGAGGUUCUCCAUUCAGAUGUUCACCAUGUCUGACCACUCCCACAUCUACCUUCACUGCCUGAGCAGAAUAUGCAGCCAAGAUGAGAACUGCACAACGAACUGCUCUCCCAGGCAAAACCAAAAGGUGAGAAGAGAUCUACCGGACAAACUCACAGCUAUUCUUUCAGCAGGACCCAUCUCUGCAGCAAAGAGGAAACUGACAAACUGGCCUGGAGCCCAGAUCAUGCUAUCAGUGGCCGGAGGAUUGAUUGGAUUCUUUUUUCUAACAGCACUGGGUGUGCGUGCAGCACACGCUAUAACACAGCGCAACCCCAGACAUCAAUAAAAUAUGUAUACCUGCACUGUUUAGUCCGUCCUCUCUGUGCUACUGUACAAACAGCACUGUGUCCUUAUUCUCUCUGUGCUACUGUGUACAAACAGCACUGUGUCCUUAUUCUCUCUGUGCUACUGUGCACAGACAGCUCUGUGUCCUUAUUCUCCCUGUGUAACUAUGUACAGACAGCACUGUGUCCUUAUUCUCCCUGUGUAACUGUGUACAGACAGCACUGUGUCCUUAUUCUCCCUGUGUAACUGUGUACAGACAGCACUGAGUCAUUAUUCUCUCAGUGUAACUGUGUACAAACAGGCACUGUUUCAAACACUGCAAUCUAGAGAUAAGGAGGGCAUCUGAUUUUGGUGUCCUCCCCUCUAACUGACUCUCUGGUUGUGUUCCAACCUUUAUACUCUAUAACUUUGGCAGUGCGCCACCAUGACAUAGCUGUUCAAUGCGUGAAAUUUUUUGGUCAAACCUGUCCGUGGUUUUACAGAAGAUAUUGUAGCCGAUUAGGUGAACGUGCAGAUGGUACAUCAUAAUGCAGUGUAUACGUUCGGUGAAAGCUGGGUAGAUUUGGUGCAAAAGCAAUUGUUGAUAAGUAAUAGGCAAAUAUUAGUGAGCAAAAAAGCACAGUUCAGAAACUUGCUUCCGGCAGGGCAUGAACCAGGGUCCCUGCGAUCUAUAGACCAUGACAUUGACCACUCCGCCACAAAGGAACUAGCUGUUGAGACAGGAAAUGUUUUAGAGUAAAAAGAUAUGUCUAUUUUGCAUGUGUAUGUGAGAUUUUGAUUGGAUCGUGUUGGAGAAGGAUUGGCUGGUGUUGGUAAAAUGUCCAAUGGGGAGACAUUUUGUUUGUAGGCUAGGCGGCAGGAAGGAGGAGAAGGAGAAAACGCAAAAUCCCCUUAGUUUGGGGCUUUAUUGUGUGGACGUGUGAAGUUGUUUAUGAAUUCUGUCUGUUGAAAUGGGGUCAGAAUGUACAGAAAUUAAUGUUUUUAAGGGCUGAGUGUCUAUGGCUGUUGUGGUUAUAUUUGUGGGGAACCCUGAAAAGUGUCGGUGCUGUAUAGGUAUGGGGCAUGCCGCCCCGCCAAGGUGUAAUGUGGCCGGAUGGCAUACCUGCCAUCCCAAUGAAGAAAGAAAAAUAAAAAUGUAACUAGCUAUC